rnacentral:rRNA from 1 species
CCUACGGGAGGCAGCAGUGAGGAAUAUUGGUCAAUGGGCGCGAGCCUGAACCAGCCAAGUAGCGUGAAGGAUGAAUGCCCUACGGGUUGUAAACUUCUUUUAUCAAGGAAUAAAGUGAGGCACGUGUGCCUUUUUGCAUGUACUUUAUGAAUAAGGAUCGGCUAACUCCGUGCCAGCAGCCGCGGUAAUACGGAGGAUACGAGCGUUAUCCGGAUUUAUUGUGUUUAAAGGGUGCGUAGAUGGUUUGUUAAGUCAGUUGUGAAGUUUUGUGGCUCAACCGGAAAAUUGCAAUUGAUACUGGCAGUCUUGAGUACAGUUGAGGGAGGCGGAAUUCGUGGUGUAGCGGUGAAAUGCUUAGAGAUCUCGAAGAACUCCGAUUGCGAAGGCAGCUUACUGGACUGCCACUGACGUUGAUGCUCGAAAGUGUGGGUAUCAAACAGGAUUAGAUACCCUAGUAGUC